CUCUUCCAAUCUAGAGAAAGAAACUCGUAUUUAAAAACCGUACGAAUUUCCAACUUACCAUCUCUAAACAAAGACAGCAUAAAACGAUUUAUAAAUACUUUAUAAAGCACAAAAUGAGUUUGAAUAAAGAAAUA